rnacentral:pre_miRNA from 2 species
CGUGGACUCCAAAGUCCCAAAAUUCUUGUCUUCGAUUUGUCUAGAUAUGAAUGUAUCUAGUCACGUUUUAGUAUUUAGAUGCAUUCAUUUCUAGACAAACCUAAAACAAAAAUUUUGAGACGGAGGGGGUAAUUG